rnacentral:rRNA from 1 species
UACGUAGGGUGCGAGCGUUGUCCGGAAUUAUUGGGCGUAAAGAGCUCGUAGGCGGUGUGUCGCGUCGGCCGUGAAAACCUGCAGCUUAACUGUGGGCUUGCGGUCGAUACGGGCAUCACUGGAGUUCGGCAGGGGAGACUGGAAUUCCUGGUGUAGCGGUGAAAUGCGCAGAUAUCAGGAGGAACACCGGUGGCGAAGGCGGGUCUCUGGGCCGAUACUGACGCUGAGGAGCGAAAGCGUGGGGAGCGAACAGGA